rnacentral:rRNA from 1 species
AACGCGAAGAACCUUACCUGGGCUCGAAGUGCAGUGGACCAGGGUGGAAACAUCCUUUUCUCGCAAGAGACUGCUGUAUAGGUGCUGCAUGGCUGUCGUCAGCUCGUGUCGUGAGAUGUUGGGUUAAGUCCCGCAACGAGCGCAACCCUUAUCGUUAGUUGCUAACAGGUUAAGCUGAGCACUCUAGCGAAACCGCCCCGGACAACGGGGAGGAAGGUGGGGAUGACGUCAAGUCCUCAUGGCCUUUAUGUCCAGGGCUACACACGUGCUACAAUGGUCGGUACAAACCGUCGCAAACCCGCGAGGGGGAGCUAAUCGGAAAAAGCCGACCUCAGUUCGGAUUGGAGUCUGCAACUCGACUCCAUGAAGCUGGAAUCGCUAGUAAUCGCGGAUCAUCAUGCCGCGGUGAAUACGUUCCCGGGCCUUGUACACACCGCACGA